GGACGGAAGGUAGGUAAUGACCCCUAUUCAUUCAUAUACAGUAGGUAUGGACCUGCCUAUUCAUUCAUAUACAGUAGGUAAUGACCUGCCUAUUCAUUCAGUAUACAGUAGGUGUGGACCUACCUAUUCAUUCAUAUACAGUAGGUAUGGACCUGCCUAUUCAUUCAUAUACAGUAGGUGUGGACCUACCUAUUCAUUCAUAUAGUCGGUAUCUGAUUAUAGAAAUAAACACAUCUCUAUUUUAAGCAUCCACCUGACAGGCCUAUGUGAUCAACGGCUAAUUGCGCAUCACAUUUGCAACAUUGGUCAUGCAUGCACAGUGGGGGGAGCUAAAUUAGUGGUCAUAAUUCUACCUAGCCUACUUUGUUGAAAAAUAAUCCCCCAGGCCGUCAAUUGGGUACGGCAGGUACAGCAGACGCCAUACCCUAGCUCAAGACCAAACAUUUAAAAAGUAGGCUACAAAAAAAAAAAAAAAGUUGUUUAUAAUCAUUCCAAUCCAGAUUAAAAUACAACGUCUGUUUAGUGUAUUGACCCGGCUGGCUUUAGGACCAUGCGGAGCGUCGCUCGGAGAGAAGCUGCCAGUCUGCGUGUCGUUCUCUCACUAAGAGAGCAGAGACAAGGGCCAGACAGUUUGCUUUGCCGGUCAGUCGUUUUGGCAGUGCGCCGAUUGCUUUGAAUUUGAUGUGGGCAUUUGAACUCGUCCUUGUAGGCUUCACUGACAGCUGGUUUAUACACCGGCUCCGUUUCACAUUGAUGUCAGCGUAGGAAACGUGUCCCAAUUUGGCUAGCCCACUGUUCCUAGGCCGUCAUUGAAAAUAAGAAUUUGUUCUUAACUGACUUGCCUAGUUAAAUAAAAGGUAAAAUAAAAAUUAAAUACACGACGAAUAGCCUAGCAAACAGCUGAUUGUUUCGUUGCAGUGGUCAGUGAAAAGCUGUUAAAAAUAGUCCUAGGGCUGUCAGAAUAUUUCAAAAAUACAAAUUGUAGAAAAAAAACUAUUUAGAAAGAAAAAUAACUACUGCUGAAAAGAGAUCACAAAUAAAAGACUAUCUGUCUCCAUUCAUCAACUCCUAAUUGAGCGAACAGUAGCCCAUCGUAUUGGUACCGGCGGAGUGCACACAUACCCACGGUCUGUCAUCGGAUCAGUACCACUAAAACGGCGGCUUUUGGACAAUAAUUCCUACCUCCAGGCUACAUGCACGUCAUAUUUCACCAUUUGUAUCAUAUUUCACCACUUGAACCUCUCCUUUUCGGACUAGAUUAGAUUGGGCUGCAUUCAAAGAAAAACGGUUGUUUUUACAGAUGUUUCCCAUGCAGAGUUAGGAGAAGAAACAUCUCUGAUAAAGCCUAUAUGUCACUACUAUCUCUGUCACUGCUGGCUCAGGCAUGUAUUGUUCAGAACUGUCCGUUUUGCUAAUUUUUAGCCUAAAUUAUGACUAUGCAGUCUACUCAUCACAUUAGGACUAGUAGCCUAUCUUACAUUAGUCUUCAAAUGGGAUGAUAGAUGCACGCAAUCCUCUGUUAUAAAAAGGGUGACAUUUGAUGGUGAACAAAUAGUUUGAAAGUCAGGCGUCACCUAUGGAUGAGGUCAUCAAGAGGUCGUCCUUGUGACUUGAUAGUGUGUAUUAUGCGCACAGCCGUUCCACAAUGUAAAUGAGUACAUUUAUGAUGAGUUUGAGUAGCGGUUGACAUUGUAUAUGCCGUUCCGCAGACCAGUAGCCUAGGAGUAGGCUACAGUACCCUAGGAGUAGUCACAGUAGCCUAGGAGUAGCUACAGUAGCCUACAGUAGUUUAGGAGUAGCCUAGGAGUAGCUACAUUAGUUUAGGCAUAGCUACAGUAGUUUAGGAGUAGCCUACAGUAGUUUAGGAGUAGCUACAGUAGCAUAGGAGUAGCCUACAGUAGCCUAGGAGUAGCCUACAAUAGCCUAGGAGUAGCCUACAAUAGCCUAGGAGUAGCUACAAUAGCCUAGGAGUAGCCUACAAUAGCCUAGGAGUAGUCUACAAUAGCCUAGGAGUAGCUACAAUAGCCUAGGAGUAGUAGGAGUAGCUACAAUAGCCUAGGAGUAGCUACAGUAGCCUAGGAGUAGCUACAAUACCCUAGGAGUAGCUACAGUAGUUUAGGAGUAGCCUAGGAGUAGCUACAAUAGCCUAGGAGUAGCCUACAGUAGCCUAGGAGUAGCCACAAUAGCCUAGGAGUGCUACAGUAGCCUAGAGUAGCUACAGUAGCCUAGGAGUAGCUACAGAGCUUAAGAGUAGACAAUUGGCUGUGGUGCUGAAAUGUGGAUACGAGGGCACUAUUACAAGCGGCACCCAGCCCAUCAACAGAGAAUAUCAAUUUAUUUCUGUCCACCAGCUUUGUCAGUUUCUGUAAAUCGGCAUAUCUGCAUCUAGCUAUUCAUACAGUAGCUCUAGCUAGCUAAUGGGGGCUUGAUUUACUUUGUUUUAGAAACAGUCAACGUUUUAAAAGUGGAAAAUGCACGUAACUAAAGCGCCGGUCCCCAACAUCCCCCGAUCAAUCCAUCCCUGCCUCACAUUACAAAAUGACUUGACAUUAUCAUGACAUCACAGCGGUUUGGUCGGCAUGUUUUCAUUGGUGAAUAGUCUAUAAAAUGUACCUUGCAAAUCACCUUGUCAUCUAUUAUCACUAUGGACAUCGGCAUCUGUACAUAUCUCAAAACGUGUGACGUGUCAUUGGACUAUUGUGUCCAAACAUUUUGUAGAAAAUAAUUCCAUAGGAUAACUACAUUAUGUUGAAAAAUUGCUGAACAUUGCGCGCACAAUGUUUACAAUGUUAGUUUACUGGUUAGUUUACAAUGUUAGUUACUGGUUAGUUUACAAUGUUAGUUCACAAUGUUACAUGUUAGUUUACUGGUCCCCCCUCCAGUGAUGUCACAGAGCAAUUGAUAGAAAUCCAACUGUUUUUCAGAAUGUCUCUGAAAAAUGCACAUUAAAAAUGUAAACUAUACCAUUGGUUGUGAAUAUGCUACUGGGUGGGUUGGUGAGUUUGUGUAACAGUUGUUUGACCUGUUAAAAGGUGUAUAUAAAUUUUAAGUCCUCUUUAAUGCUCUGUUCUAUACAUGAUACAACAAGUCCACUGUGUCCCACUCUAUAGGGAAUAGCCUUCCAUUUGGGGGCGCAUUCUCACCCACACAUCUGGAAUGGAUGUUUCUCCCUGCUGUCCCUGUGUUUCGAGAGGAGGAAAAGAGUAGGGGAGGAAGGAUGGAAGGAGGGAUGGGAUGGAAGGAGGAGAGAGGAAGGAGAGGGCUUAUGGGAUCAAAAGUAUGGUGUAGGACGGAGGGGCGGCCGGUGAUGAAGG
ensembl:lncRNA